rnacentral:lncRNA from 1 species
GUGGCCCAACCAUCACCAAAAGAAGGGUAAAAGCCCCCAAACCUUUAAAUAAUCUUCUUCCCAUCCAUUUUAGCCAAUAAAGAAUUGAUUGCAGCCAGUUAUCAUCAAAUUUUCCUUUAAAGACAAAGUCCCUAAUUUUUCCCUCAUUUUUCUGCCAAUUUUCUUAUUUUUUUGGUGUCAUUCACCACCGCGAACCACC